AACGAUCACGUACGGGAGGACACGCUCGGCGAGGCUGUGGAUGUGGUACGACGAAUAAUAGCUUGUUUCCUUCUGGGUACCCGAGGAAGCCUCUUCGGGACAUCACUGAUGUUGUUUGUGCCAUUGAGAGGAGGA